AUUGAACGCUGGCGGAAUGCUUUACACAUGCAAGUCGAACGGUAGAGGGGGCAACCCCUCGAGAGUGGCGAACGGGUGAGUAAUAUAUCGGAACGUGCCCAGUCGUGGGGGAUAACGUAGCGAAAGUUACGCUAAUACCGCAUGCGAUCUAAGGAUGAAAGCGGGGGAUCGCAAGACCUCGCGCGAUUGGAGCGGCCGAUAUAAGAUUAGGUAGUUGGUGGGGUAAAGGAUCACCAAGCCAACGAUCUGUAGCUGGUCUGAGAGGACGACCAGCCACACUGGAACUGAGACACGGUCCAGAUUCCUACGGGAGGCAGCAUUGGGGAAUUUUGGACAAUGGACGCAAGUCUGAUCCAGCCAUUCCGCGUGCAGGUUGAAGGCCCUCGGGUUGUAAACUGCUUUUGUACGGAACGAAAAGGUCUCUCUUAAUACGGGGGGCUCAUGACGGUACCGUAAGAAUAAGCACCGGCUAACUACGUGCCAGCCGCCGCCGUAA
rnacentral:rRNA from 1 species